rnacentral:rRNA from 1 species
GACGAGCGCUGGCGGCGUGCCUAAUACAUGCAAGUCGAGCGAACCAAUAAGAAGCUUGCUUUUUGUUGGUUAGCGGCGGACGGGUGAGUAACACGUGGGUAGCCUGCCUGUAAGACCGGGAUAACUCCGGGAAACCGGUGCUAAUACCGGAUAGAUUAUCUUUCCGCAUGGAGAGAUAAGGAAAGAUGGCUAUUGCCAUCACUUACAGAUGGGCCCGCGGCGCAUUAGCUAGUUGGUGAGGUAACGGCUCACCAAGGCGACGAUGCGUAGCCGACCUGGGAGGGUGAUCGGCCACACUGGGACUGAGACACGGCCCAGACUCCUACGGGAGGCAGCAGUAGGGAAUCUUCCGCAAUGGACGAAAGUCUGACGGAGCAACGCCGCGUGAGCGAAGAAGGUCUUCGGAUCGUAAAGCUCUGUUGUUAGGGAAGAACAAGUAUCGGAGGAAAUGCCGGUACCUUGACGGUACCUGACGAGAAAGCCACGGCUAACUACGUG